UGUAGUGCUAACUGUGUUAAGAGUUUUGAAAACUUGUUAAAAGUAUUGAAAAAUCUGUCAUAGCAAUUGUAAAAAACUGUAAUGGCGUAUGCAGUCUUAUGUGUUAUGUGACCUCCACAGUCUGCACCCUUCGGACUCAGAAACGGCCUGUGAUUGGUGGUCCAGCUGUAACUCAUUUUAAGUGACAGAAAAACUGACCAAUCAUAUUGUUCAUCUGAAUGGGUGGGUUCUCUCAAUCCACUCGCUCGCUCUGAGGACGUUCGUGUUUUAAAGAUAAGUGUGACUUUACUGCGGUCUUUUUCGGUUUAUUUAGUUUUGUGUUAAUUAUAUACACAAAGUAUUCGAUUAAAAUGUUAAUGUAAAACUAUUAUCCGCUGUAAAUUAAUUGUGUGUUCAAUUGCGAAGUUCGCGUGGCUGACUGAAUUGUUUGACAAAGGCGUCUUACUGGAGUUGUCUGCUGCCCUCCGAAACUUGAAGCAAAACUGAAGGGAAAUGUAACGUUAUUCAUUUAAUUCCACAAAAGGUGAGGAAGAUAUUAAAUGUAUAUGUUAUCUUUUUAAAAUGUUUAAGCUUUCUACAUAAUGUAAAAUUAACAUUAUUUAUUUUGCGACCUAUUAACUAAAUUGUGUGUUCAUGAAGGCCUGUACUGCAAUUUCCUGCAGGCAAAGUGAAACAUUGCUGAGGGAGAACUAUAUUCACAACAAAAGGAUAAAGAUGAAGAGGUGGGACUUGAGCAGCUUGCGAUGGCUGUAAUUGUAAAGAAUGGAUUUUCUAGGAGUGGCAGCCCAAGGGAUGCUGGAAUUGUUAUCGAGGCCUUAAAGGUGUUCCCAGGGCAUGCUUUAUCCUCCUUGGAUUGGAUUGGAUCUAUGCAUUGAAUCUCCAGUAUCCCAGGCAUCUUUUCAGGUGUUUCAGAAACUUUUCUUGGAGCUGGAUUCUUCAAAGUUUAUAAACUGAUUACAGUACAGUAAGUCUAAACUGCUGUCUGAUGUUCUGGGUGUGAAUCAAUGUAGCAGAACACAAACAUGGAACCUUUCGUUGGGAAAUGUGGACGGUUUUCUUUAAAGACUGUAAAAUACUUUUUGAAGUUUACACUGUUACAAAUACACCAUUAAAA